ensembl:antisense Wt1os Wilms tumor 1 homolog, opposite strand
AAGGGGAUUUUUAGAGUGUGUGACUAGAAGAAGGGUUUGAGGAGAGCUGUGGGGAAAGGAGCCUAAGAGAAAAUGUAGGUUUAAUGAAUCUAUAAAAUGACCCCGUUGUAGAUAAAUGUUACUCCAAAAGAGUUUAAACAGCCUGACUGAAGCCAGCAUCCAUGACAGUCAGUCUGAUGUGAGGUGUCUAUAGCUUCUCUUUGGGUUUCCCUGGGAUAGUUGUUAUUCUCUGCUCACAGACGGGGUGUGUGGAUGGGGACUGGGUAGAAAGUGAAUUUAACUGCACAUUUCCAAGUACUAGCUUACAGGUUUGUGAAGAGGCUCAAAGGAACUACCAACACCUGCCCUGCAAGCCGCUGCCAUCUCAGAAUCCCAGACGCUCUGGACAGCCUGCUCUCUGUCUCUGGGUUUCCAACCAGCAAUGGGGAGUCUUUCAGAGCCUAAGGCUCUCCCAGCUAAUGAUGAGAUAGACGGAUGCUUCAACCCUAAUGGGGCCUUCUGCUUAAAAUAGGCUUUGCACACACACACACUACUGAACUUUUCCCCGAAAACCCUCCAGGCUUUUGAUCCCAGGAGAGACAUUCAUCUUUUUUGCAGCUGCUUUGCAAGUUCCGCUGGGGAUGAAUUUCAGGACUCCCAACUGUUAAACUGGUUACAUUGUAAAUCUAGUCACAGUGCUGAAAUGGAGACAUCUGUCCUGGAAGAAGAGGAGAGAUGGGAAAGAGUCUCAAGUAGAAGAUAUGGGGAGCAAGACCAGAGUGAAGACACCCACACCUCGCUCCCUAGCCACAAGUUGUUUGAUGUGUAGCUCAAGGAAUGUCACCAAAGAGGUUGAGAAGGAAGUAUAGACCCCACUGAAGACACAGAGAAGCACUGAGAAACACUGUCUUCAGGCCAUCGCGCAGCUAUCUAUCACAAACACAAUAACACCAUAGCUGUGCUGCCUGCAUCGAGCACAAGACGGGGCCUGUCAACAGCCCACAGAUAAGACAUAGGAAAGUCAUACCCUGGACAUGCUGGAGAGAAACUGAACAAAGAGAAACGGAGAACCACCCCAAACAGCUGGCCAGACAAGAAGGAUCGUCUAGGGCCUGCCAUCAGCUCAUCCCCAGAUUUUCUGAGAGCCUCCAUGAAGAAGGCAGGACAAGGAAAGGCAAAUAGCCACCCACUGCUCAUCUGGAAUGGUUUCAAGUCAUAAAGUUGGCAAACAGCUACCCUCUGCUUGAGAAAUCCAUUUUCGCGCUGUGGUCCUGAUCCUGUCGUGUGUAACUGUUAACCAGCUGGGUGACCUGGACUGAUUCACUGCCCCGACUCCAACCCAGAGGAACGGCUCAGCUCUCUCAAGCUCCUUAUACCUUUAAAGUCUGUGACUCUAGUUUAUGGUUCAUGAAGACAUUAUAAAAAAUUCCCGCCAGGAUUAGGUUUCCUAAAAACUUGAGAUGGUUUAGUGUUCUGUGUAUAGUCAAAGUCGGCUGUGAAGUACAUCUCAACUGUGACGCCUGUGGCCAGUGGGUAACCUGCUUGUUUUGGUGCUAGAUAGCAACUGAUAUAUAUGAUUUGUUUGUUUGUUUGUUUGUUUGUUUGUUUUUUCACAGAUUUUUGGAGAGGGAACAGGGUGUUUGUGUGUAGGUGUUUGUUUGCAUAGGCCAAAGAUCAACCUCUGCACAAUGUCAGCUCUCAGGAGACAGUCACAUUGUAUUUUGAGAGAGUCUUCCCCUGGGACCUGGGACAUACUGACUGGUCAUCAAGGUCCAUGAUUCUGCUUGUCUCCACCUCCCCAAUGCACCACAUACAGCUUUUUUUGUGUAGAUUCCGGGUACCAAACCAAGGUGCCCACAUGGCAUGGCAAGUAUUUUAGUGGUUUAGCUAUCUCCCCAGCACAAGCCGUCUUUGUUUUAAGUCAACAAUCCCUUUUGGCAUUCCCCAAAUUCUCAGAUUUUAGACAAAAAUAGCAAUUAUCUGAGUGUCCACCACACAAAAGAUAACUAUGAGCAUCUUUCCCCAAGCUGAGGACCAGUGUGGACACUGCUUAUGCUGCCCAGUGCUUAGGCCUCAUCACUGCUGGUGAUGUGAGAGCUGCUAGCCUUCCACUGAGACCCUGAGAUGAAAGGACUGCUUUGCCUAAAGCCACAUCCAGUGCUCAGGCCUGUACCCCAGUGGGUCUAACUCUAAAGGGCCAUGCCAACGCCUGAGUUCCUGAGAGGUGAGCUGAGGCUUUUACUGUAGACAUAUUUACUACUGUUGUAGGUCAGCUUCCCCCACCCCCACCCCUCUGCACAUGACUCCAUGGAGCAUGUCCUAAUAAACUCGCUGCACAGCCGGUCCGGCCUUAGCCUGCUCCCUGGAGGGUUUGGCCUAUCCAAGCCACAUAUGGACCUGAAUUCUAAAUUGGGUUCUCUUCAUUUCUAGAGUGAAACCUGGAAUUUGUUUCAGCAAAAUAGGAAUAGAGAUGACCACCUCGUAGAGUUGUUUAUCAUAACGAAAUAUGGAAACUAAUACCAAGUACAUUGCCAAUGACCAGCUAAAGUUCAUACUCACAGAACAGUCACGAUGUAUCAGGUUCUAGUUUAUGGACGUUUCCACAAAGGUACUCUGUGGGGACAAUGACAUCCUUAUUUCACAGAGGAGAAAAACCAAGGCAUAUAUAAGUUAAGUAACUUCAUGAAGAUCACACAGCUAAUAAAUCAUAGUCAAGAAAACAAACCAAGCAGCCAAACUGCAGAAGCAACGUUCUUCAUUAAAACUCUACUGUCUCUUAGCAAAGAAAGAAAAAUUAAAAUAAACACAUUUUUCCUGACAAUGAGCAAAAGAAGAAGCAUGAAUUUCGAUUCUGGUCCGUUCCAUGGGUUGUGUUUGCUUUUGCUUCAGAUAAACCCUUGAUACGAAGAGUGAGUAAAACGGCAGGAGGCUGCUUGGGCCCGUAUCUUGGCACCUAGUUAGUUAGUUAGUUAGUUAGUUAGUUAGUUAGUUAGUUAGUUAGUUAGUUAUUGACUCCAGAUUGAUCAUUGGACCACUAGAAUCAAUGCAUCACUUAUUUUUGUUGUUCAUUUUCGUUCUAAUGAAACUUGGUCUGGGUUUCUUUCUUCGUGAAUCCUACUGAGUGGAGGGUCAGUGAAUAAAACAAAGACAUUUCAC